GACGAACGCUGGCGGCGUGCUUAACACAUGCAAGUCGAACGGAAAGGCCCUGCUUUUGUGGGGUGCUCGAGUGGCGAACGGGUGAGUAACACGUGAGUAACCUGCCCUUGACUUUGGGAUAACUUCAGGAAACUGGGGCUAAUACCGGAUAGGAGCUCCUGCUGCAUGGUGGGGGUUGGAAAGUUUCGGCGGUUGGGGAUGUACUCGCGGCUUAUCAGCUUGUUGGUGGGGUAGUGGCUUACCAAGGCUUUGACGGGUAGCCGGCCUGAGAGGGUGACCGGCCACAUUGGGACUGAGAUAAGGCCCAGACUCCUACGGGAGGCAGCAGUGGGGAAUAUUGCACAAUGGGCGGAAGACUGAUGCAGCAACGCCGCGUGCGGGAUGACGGCCUUCGGGUUGUAAACCGCUUUCGCCUGUGACGAAGCGUGAGUGACGGUAAUGGGUAAAGAAGCACCGGCUAACUACGUG
rnacentral:rRNA from 1 species